AUUGAACGCUGGCGGCAUGCCUUACACAUGCAAGUCGAACGGCAGCACGGGAGCAAUCCUGGUGGCGAGUGGCGAACGGGUGAGUAAAGGAUCGGAACGUGCCCCUUCGUGGGGGAUAACGUAGCGAAAGUUACGCGAAUACCGCAUCCGUGCUAGGUACGAAAGCGGGGGAUCGCACGACCUCGCGCGAUUGGAGCGGACGAUAUCAGACUAGGUAGUUGGUGGGGUAAAGGCUCACCAAGCCGACGAUCUGUAGCUGGUCUGAGAGGACGACCAGCCACACUGGGACUGAGACACGGCCCAGACUCCUACGGGAGGCAGCAGUGGGGAAUUUUGGACAAUGGGCGCAAGCCUGAUCCAGCCAUGCCGCGUGCAGGAUGAAGGCCUUCGGGUUGUAAACUGCUUUUGUACGGAACGAAAAGAUUUGGCCUAAUACGCUGAACUCAUGACGGUACCGUAAGAAUAAGCACCGGCUAACUACGUGCCAGCCGCCGCCGUAA
rnacentral:rRNA from 1 species